GUCUACGGCCAUGCCACCCUGACUGCACCCAUUCUCGUCUGAUCUCGGAAGCCAAGCGGGCUUGGGCCUGGUUAGUACUUGGAUGGGAGACGUCAGCCUUCAUGAGGUAGGAUUUGGGGUGGGGACA
rnacentral:rRNA from 1 species